AUUGAACGCUGGCGGCAUGCCUAACACAUGCAAGUCGAACGGGGCAGCAAUGCCUAGUGGCGGACGGGUGAGGAAUACGUAGGAAUCUGCCCUUAAGUGGGGGAUAACCAGGGGAAACCCUGACUAAUACCGCAUGAUCUCUUCGGAGCAAAGAGGGGGACCGCAAGGCCUCUCGCUUCUGGAUGAGCCUACGUCUGAUUAGCUAGUUGGUAGGGUAAAGGCCUACCAAGGCGACGAUCAGUAACUGGUCUGAGAGGAUGAUCAGUCACACCGGAACUGAGACACGGUCCGGACUCCUACGGGAGGCAGCAGUGGGGAAUAUUGGACAAUGGACGCAAGUCUGAUCCAGCAAUGCCGCGUGAGUGAUGAAGGCCUUAGGGUUGUAAAGCUCUUUUACCAGGGAUGAUAAUGACAGUACCUGGAGAAUAAGCUCCGGCUAACUCCGUGCCAGCCGCCGCCGUAAGAC
rnacentral:rRNA from 1 species